rnacentral:rRNA from 1 species
UACGUAGGGGGCGAGCGUUGUUCGGAAUUAUUGGGCGUAAAGCGCGUGUAGGCGGUUCGGUAAGGCGGGUGUGAAACCCCAGGGCUCAACCCUGGGCCGGCAUCCGCGACUGCCGGGCUGGAGUGCGGGAGGGGAGAGCGGAAUUCCUGGUGUAGCGGUGAAAUGCGUAGAUAUCAGGAGGAACACCGGUGGCGAAGGCGGCUCUCUGGACCGUAACUGACGCUGAGACGCGAAAGCGUGGGGAGCGAACAGG